rnacentral:tRNA from 1 species
GGGAGUUUGGCCGAGUGGUUAAGGCGUCGUGUUUAGGUCUUUGACAGGUUUCCCUGGCAUACCUGAAUCCCGCGAUGGGAAACCGCGCAGGUUCGAAUCCUGCAGCUCUCA